rnacentral:rRNA from 2 species
UCUGGUAUUGAUUGGUGCUUGCAUCAUGAUUUACAUUUGAGUGAGUGGCGAACUGGUGAGUAACACGUGGGAAACCUGCCCAGAAGCGGGGGAUAACACCUGGAAACAGAUGCUAAUACCGCAUAACAACUUGGACCGCAUGGUCCGAGUUUGAAAGAUGGCUUCGGCUAUCACUUUUGGAUGGUCCCGCGGCGUAUUAGCUAGAUGGUGGGGUAACGGCUCACCAUGGCAAUGAUACGUAGCCGACCUGAGAGGGUAAUCGGCCACAUUGGGACUGAGACACGGCCCAAACUCCUACGGGAGGCAGCAGUAGGGAAUCUUCCACAAUGGACGAAAGUCUGAUGGAGCAACGCCGCGUGAGUGAAGAAGGGUUUCGGCUCGUAAAACUCUGUUGUUAAAGAAGAACAUAUCUGAGAGUAACUGUUCAGGUAUUGACGGUAUUUAACCAGAAAGCCACGGCUAACUACGUGCCAGCAGCCGCGGUAAUACGUAGGUGGCAAGCGUUGUCCGGAUUUAUUGGGCGUAAAGCGAGCGCAGGCGGUUUUUUAAGUCUGAUGUGAAAGCCUUCGGCUCAACCGAAGAAGUGCAUCGGAAACUGGGAAACUUGAGUGCAGAAGAGGACAGUGGAACUCCAUGUGUAGCGGUGAAAUGCGUAGAUAUAUGGAAGAACACCAGUGGCGAAGGCGGCUGUCUGGUCUGUAACUGACGCUGAGGCUCGAAAGUAUGGGUAGCAAACAGGAUUAGAUACCCUGGUAGUCCAUACCGUAAACGAUGAAUGCUAAGUGUUGGAGGGUUUCCGCCCUUCAGUGCUGCAGCUAACGCAUUAAGCAUUCCGCCUGGGGAGUACGGCCGCAAGGCUGAAACUCAAAGGAAUUGACGGGGGCCCGCACAAGCGGUGGAGCAUGUGGUUUAAUUCGAAGCUACGCGAAGAACCUUACCAGGUCUUGACAUACUAUGCAAAUCUAAGAGAUUAGACGUUCCCUUCGGGGACAUGGAUACAGGUGGUGCAUGGUUGUCGUCAGCUCGUGUCGUGAGAUGUUGGGUUAAGUCCCGCAACGAGCGCAACCCUUAUUAUCAGUUGCCAGCAUUAAGUUGGGCACUCUGGUGAGACUGCCGGUGACAAACCGGAGGAAGGUGGGGAUGACGUCAAAUCAUCAUGCCCCUUAUGACCUGGGCUACACACGUGCUACAAUGGAUGGUACAACGAGUUGCGAACUCGCGAGAGUAAGCUAAUCUCUUAAAGCCAUUCUCAGUUCGGAUUGUAGGCUGCAACUCGCCUACAUGAAGUCGGAAUCGCUAGUAAUCGCGGAUCAGCAUGCCGCGGUGAAUACGUUCCCGGGCCUUGUACACACCGCCCGUCACACCAUGAGAGUUUG